ensembl:misc_RNA Y_RNA Y RNA
GGCUGGUCCGAUGGCAGUGGGUUAUCAGAAUUUAUUAACAUUAGUGUCACUAAAGUUGGUAUACCACCCCCCCCCACUGCUAAAUUUGACUGGCUUUAA